rnacentral:misc_RNA from 1 species
CCCUAGCCCUGAUAGAAGCGGAAAUCCUUUUUGAGGUUUUACCGAAAAAAGAUUGCUUCACUUUAUUUCUACUUUUCAUAUGAGUUCAGUGAAUUUCAUUUGCAGCGGAUAGCCGGAAUCAGC